AUCGGAGUAGCGCAGUGGUAGAGCGUUGGGCUCAUAACCCAAAAGUCCCAGGAUCGUAACCUGGCUCCGAUA
rnacentral:tRNA from 2 species